CCGAGGGGUGUCCUGCAAAGGACUGAGACGCCGCUGGUCUGCUUCACCAAUGCAGACGGCGCGGCAACCCUUUGAACCUGAUCCGGGUCAUGCCGGCGAAGGGACGGGG
rnacentral:ncRNA from 1 species